UACGUAGGGUGCAAGCGUUAAUCGGAAUUACUGGGCGUAAAGCGUGCGCAGGCGGUUGUGCAAGACAGAUGUGAAAGCCCCGGGCUUAACCUGGGAACUGCAUUUGUGACUGCACGGCUAGAGUGUGUCAGAGGGGGGUAGAAUUCCACGUGUAGCAGUGAAAUGCGUAGAUAUGUGGAGGAAUACCGAUGGCGAAGGCAGCCCCCUGGGAUAACACUGACGCUCAUGCACGAAAGCGUGGGGAGCAAACAGG
rnacentral:rRNA from 1 species